CGCGCAUUGGAAUCAUGAUGACAGUGGUGCGACGGUGAGCUGAUAGGAGCGGAUCACGGGGAUCUAGUUACCGCUCCCGGUACAGCCCUCAGAUGUGAAAGUAGGCGCUUGAAGAUACGGGUCAAUGCUUCAAGAAUUCCGAAUUUUAUACACUGAUGAGGCCAAGCGCCGACUAGGGUGCGUCAGUCGUGGUAACUGGCGGAAAGCUUGGGCGCAGAG
rnacentral:ncRNA from 1 species